GCUCAGGAUGAACGCUAGCGACAGGCCUAACACAUGCAAGUCGAACGGUAAAAUGGUAGCAAUACUAUUGAGAGUGGCGCACGGGUGAGUAACGCGUAUGCAACCUGCCUGUAACUGGGGGAUAGCUCCCUGAAAGGGGAAUUAACACCGCAUAAGACUACGGCAUCGCAUGGUGCAGUGGUUAAAUAUUUAUAGGUAACAGAUGGGCAUGCGUGGCAUUAGGUAGUUGGCGGGGUAACGGCCCACCAAGCCUGCGAUGCCUAGGGGUUCUGAGAGGAAGGCCCCCCACACUGGUACUGAGACACGGACCAGACUCCUACGGGAGGCAGCAGUGAGGAAUAUUGGUCAAUGGACGCAAGUCUGAACCAGCCAUGUCGCGUGCAGGACGACGGCCCUAUGGGUUGUAAACUGCUUUUGUAUGGGAAGAAAGUUAGCUACGUGUGGUUCUUCC
rnacentral:rRNA from 1 species